UAAAUUGAAGCCAAGUGUUUAGGUGCUUAGCUGUUAACUAAGAGCCAGUGGGAUAAAUACCCGCCAAUUUAG
rnacentral:tRNA from 1 species